GUAACUUGGAUUCCACACACUCUGCAAACUUCCAGGGUCUGGUUCCAUCACCCAGGCUGGAGGUGCAGUGGUACAAUCACGGCUCACUACAGCUUUGACCUCUUGGGCUCAGGUGAUCCUCCUACCUCAGCCUUCUGAGUAGCUGGGACUACAGGUGUGCACCACUAUGUCCAGCUAACUUUCGUAUUUUUUGUAGAGGCAGGAUUUCACUAUUGUAUUAGUCUGUUCUCAUGCUGCUAAUAAAGACAUGUCUGAGACUGGGUAAUUUCCAAAGGAAAGGAGGUUUAAUGGACUCACAGUUCCACAUGGCUGGAGAGGCCUCACGAUCAUGGCAGAAGGUCAAAGGCACAUCUUACAUGGCAUCAGACAAGAGAGAACGAAAAAAAAAAACCAAGCAAAAGGGGAAACCCCUUAUAAAACCAUCAGCUCUCAUGAGACUUACUCACUACCAUGAGAACAGUAUGGGGAACGACACCCCCAUGAUUCAAUUACCUCCCACCAGGUCCCUCCCACAACACGUGGGAAUUAUGGGAGCUAAAAUUCAAGAUGAGAUUUGGGUGGGGACACAGCCAAACCAUCUCAACUGUAUCCCAGGCUGCUCUUGAACUCCUGAGCUCAAGCAAUCCUCCCACCUUGGCCUCCCAAAGUGCUGGGACUACAGGCCUGAGCCACCACACCUGGACUCUGUGUCUCCUUUUCUGUCUCUUAUAAGAAAACUGGCCAUUGACUUUAGGGCCCAACCGGAUCCAGGAUGAUCUCACUUCCAGAUCUUUGCCUUACCUGCAUCUGCAAAGGCACGUUCGGAGCUUCCAGGUGGAAAUGACUUUGGAGGAGGCAUCAUUCAACCCCACUGCACGUGGGAGGCCCUGGUGUCACCGAGGAGGUGCUAGUUUCUCAGAGAGGCAGCCUCUCAGCUGAGGAGAAGCAUCCAAGAGGCUGGCGGAGAUUGGAAAUGAAAGCGAGCAGGGUUUUCACAGCGAGCCAAACAGCCUGGAGGCCAGGAGGAGAGGACAAGGAGUCAUGCGACCUGGUAAAGCAGCUCCUCUCUACACACCCCUCUGGGGAAUCUUAGUGCUGAGAGGAAACCUUGGAGGUCUUAUUUCUCUACAGCCUGGAAUUAGAUGUGUCUGCCAUCUUUCUGAAUUUUGGGAAUAGGUCUAAAAUAGUGGCUUUUGGAGGCAGACAGAUGAGUUCAUAUCUAGGCUGUGCCUGGGGCGUGUCCCUUGAUUGUUCUGAAUUGCAGUAAAACUCUCUUGCAAAAAUGGGGCUCCUGGUUCUUACUGACCUGUUAGGCUUGGAGGAUGACAUGCGAUAAUGAAAGAAAGGCAGCUGCCUGUAACAGCAGCUCAUUUCAGGUCCAUUUCCUUUCAUUUUCUUACUAAGCCUCAUUGCUUCUAAACUCAGGCAGCCUCUCAAAUUAUAAUUUAAAUUUAAAAAUUCAAGUAUAGAUAUUUUCAGAACAUUUCCUCCUAAAUACAACCCAGCCUGAGCAAUCACAUUUUACGUUUUUAACCUUAUCCCAAGAACCAAUUUCUGAACCACCAUUUAAUGAACGUUAGACAAAAAGGGUUACAAUAGAGAGCAGAGAGCCCCAUGCACCCCGGAGUGAGGCUUUACGAGGGAGGAGUGCUGCUCUGCCCAGCGUCUAACCCAGAGAUGCCUGUGCUUAGGGAAAGAAGAAGAUCCUCAGCAUUUGUUGUAACCCCAGGUCUUAUCCCUCCCUUCUUUAGAAUGGAAGGUUCUGCCUCUUAUGCAUAUUUAGGUCUCAUUUCUUCCCCUUACGAUAAAACAUUCACCAUGUCUCUUGUGCUUGUUUUGAAGUGGAGACCAGCAAUGCUCUUUAUUUUUCUUUUCUUUUUUUUUUAGUUAAAUUUAACAGGUUUUUCUUCUUUUUUUUUCUUUGACAGGGUCUUGCUCUGUUUCCCAGGCUGGAGUACAGUGGCAUGAUCUCAGCUCACUACAGCCUCCACCUCCUGGGUUCAAGAGAUUCUCAUGCCUCAGCCUCCUGAGUAGCUGGGAUGACAGGCAUGUACCACCACACCUGGCUAAUUUUUGUAUUUUUAGUAGAAACGGGGGCUUUACCAUGUUGCCCUGGCUGGUCUUGAACUCCUGGCUUCAAGUGAUCCACCUGUCUCAGCCUCCCGUAGUACUGGGAUUACAGACAUAAGCCAGGACCGCAGCCCAGGAACGCUAUAUAGUUCUACCUGAUUUGUGCCAAGAAUGAGGCUUGGCGAGAAAAAGAAAGGAAAUGGACUGGAAAUCAGCUGCUGUUAUGUGUAGCCACCUUUCCUUCAUUAUACCAUGUUAUCCUCCAAACCUAAUAGGUCAGUAAGGACCAGAAGCCCCAUUUUUGCAGGAGAGUUUUACUGCAAUUCAGAAAGUUCAGGGGACUUACCCCAGAGGAUGAUUUCAAUGUUCCUGGGAGGAUAGGGCUCUGUUUUCAGGAACAGUCCUUGCUCUGGUUUGGCUAUUAAGUAGCUGAUAAUAUAGAUUCCUCCUCCCUUAGUCACAGACUGUGGCUUUGUGGCAUCUACUUGACCAUCUUAGGAGCAGCUCCUGGGGCCCGUCCAUGGCAGAAACACUUGCAGCAUACUGGGCAAGGGUCCCAACAUCAAGCAUGACACAAGCACCCAUGAGGCCCGCAGAUCGCUGCCUGGCUCCUUCCGCUGCCUGGUUAUGUGGUGGAGACCAUGCUUUGCCUAUUAAUGGAUGUGUAGUUUACAUUGGACAUAACCCAAAAUUUUAGAACUUGAAGAUAAAUACUAUCUCGAUUGGAACUGCAUUGUGAUGAAGCAUUUUAUUUCAGAAUUUCUUGGCUGGCCUUGGAGCUAUUUAAAAGGACAACACUGAAGUCAGGAAGUGAGAUGCCUCCAGCUUCCUUCUUUUUUUCCUCAAGAUUGCUUUAGCUAUUCUGGGUCUUUAGUGGUUCUAUAUGGAUUUUAGGAUUUUUUUUUUCUAUGUCUAUAAAGAAUGCCAUUGGAAUUUUGAUAAGAA
rnacentral:lncRNA from 10 species